UCCCUGGUGGCUUAGACAGUAAAGCGUCUGUCUACAAUUCAGGAGACCUGGGUUUGAUCCCUGGGUCGGGAA
rfam:Ovis aries breed Texel chromosome 1, whole genome shotgun sequence.